rnacentral:rRNA from 1 species
AGAGUUUGAUCCUGGCUCAGAUUGAACGCUGGCGGUAUGCUUAACACAUGCAAGUCGAACGGUAACGGUCCUUCGGGAGCCGACGAGUGGCGGACGGGUGAGUAACGCGUAGGAAUCUGCCUGGUAGUGGGGGACAACUCGGAGAAAUCCGAGCUAAUACCGCGUACGCCCUGAGGGGGAAAGCGGGGGAUCUUCGGACCUCGCGCUAUCAGAUGAGCCUGCGUUGGAUUAGCUAGUUGGUGGGGUAAAUGCCUACCAAGGCGACGAUCCAUAGCUGGUCUGAGAGGACGAUCAGCCACACUGGGACUGAGACACGGCCCAGACUCCUACGGGAGGCAGCAGUGGGGAAUAUUGGACAAUGGGCGCAAGCCUGAUCCAGCAAUACCGCGUGUGUGAAGAAGGCCUGAGGGUUGUAAAGCACUUUCAAUAGGGAGGAAAAAGCGUUGGUUAAUAGCCGAUGCCUUGACAUUACCUAUAGAAGAAGCACCGGCUAACUCCGUGCCAGCAGCCGCGGUAAUACGGAGGGUGCGAGCGUUAAUCGGAAUUACUGGGCGUAAAGCGUGCGUAGGCGGUUAUUUAAGUCAGAUGUGAAAGCCCCGGGCUUAACCUGGGAACGGCAUUUGAUACUGGGUAACUUGAGUUUAGGAGAGGAGAGUGGAAUUUCCGGUGUAGCGGUGAAAUGCGUAGAGAUCGGAAGGAACACCAGUGGCGAAGGCGGCUCUCUGGCCUAAAACUGACGCUGAGGUACGAAAGCGUGGGUAGCAAACAGGAUUAGAUACCCUGGUAGUCCACGCCGUAAACGAUGUCAACUAGCCGUUGGGUCUUUAUUAAGACUUAGUGGUGCAGCUAACGCAUUAAGUUGACCGCCUGGGGAGUACGGCCGC